AGAAUCAACGCUGGCGGCGUGCCUAACACAUGCAAGUCGCACGAGAAAGGGGCUUCGGCUCUGAGUAAAGUGGCGCACGGGUGAGUAACACGUGAAUAAUCUACCUCCGAGUGGGGAAUAACUGAGAGAAAUCUUAGCUAAUACCGCAUAACACUUACGAGUCAAAGCAGCAAUGCGCUUGGAGAGGAGUUCGCGGCCGAUUAGUUAGUUGGCGGGGUAAUGGCCCACCAAGACGAUGAUCGGUAUCCGGCCUGAGAGGGCGCACGGACACACUGGAACUGAAACACGGUCCAGACUCCUACGGGAGGCAGCAGUGGGGAAUUUUGCGCAAUGGGGGAAACCCUGACGCAGCAACGCCGCGUGGAGGAUGAAAUAUCUUGGUAUGUAAACUCCUUUCGAUGGGGAAGAUUAUGACGGUACCAUAGAAGAAGCCCGGCUAACUUCGUGCCAGCAGCCGC
rnacentral:rRNA from 1 species